UAUUCUGCCCUACAGGGAAGGAUGAGAAGCUUCGACUAAGGUUCGACUCGAGCGAAGCGAGAGAACGUUGCGUCAGCAACGGCCCGCAGGGCGAGGCGCUUUAGCGCCGAGUAAUCCUUCCCUCACCACCA
rnacentral:sRNA from 1 species